AUGCAACGAUUUCUCAUAGUUCGCCGCGGCUAUCCUUUCUCACCCCUGUCUUCCUCCUUCUCCUGGCUUCUAGUUCAGUUCGCCUUCAUCAAUCCACAAUUUCAACAUAACCUUGUUCUUACCAUCUUCAAUUCAAACCAACACCGGCCACAUCAUAGAUGUCGUUGCAACGAUUCUCUUUCGAUCGCCUCGCCGAUCAACACAUCUUCUCAGUCUCACGCAUUCACCGUUUCCAGAUCAAACCAAAUAUAUAAACCACAGUGCAUAGAAAAGCUAGGAAUUCAGAUCAAAGCCUUAGAGUGA